rnacentral:lncRNA from 1 species
UACAAAAAACUGUCAGAAACCGAAACCACCCUUUUUUUCAUCACUCACAUUUGUUCUCAUACUAACUUGCUUGGACAUUUAUCCAGUGGUAAUCAUAAAGUUGAUACUCUAGUUUCUCUAGCCAUUACAGAUGCAGAACAAUUUCGUCAACUCACUCAUACUAAUGCCAGAAAAACAUUUCUCUGGUAACUGCCCCAGGGUAAACCAAGGAAGGGAAGUAUGGUGGAAAGAUGUUCAAUCUAAUAUAUGGUCA